rnacentral:rRNA from 1 species
GACGAACGCUGGCGGCGUGCUUAACACAUGCAAGUCGAACGAUGAAACCUAGCUUGCUAGGUCGAUUGGUGGCGAACGGGUGAGUAACACGUGACUAACCUGCCCCUUUCUCUGGGAUAACGCUCCGAAAGGAGUGCUAAUACCGGAUACUCACACCGAGGCACAUGCCUUGGUGUGGAAAGUUUUUAGGAAAGGGAUGGAGUCGCGGCCUAGCAGCUUGUUGGUGAGGUAACGGCUCACCAAGGCGACGACGGGUAGCCGGCCUGAGAGGGCGACCGGCCACACUGGGACUGAGACACGGCCCAGACUCCUACGGGAGGCAGCAGUGGGGAAUAUUGCACAAUGGGCGCAAGCCUGAUGCAGCGACGCCGCGUGAGGGAUGAAGGUCUUCGGAUUGUAAACCUCUUUCAGUAGGGACGAAGCGAAAGUGACGGUACCUAAAGAAGAAGCACCGGCUAACUACGUGCCAGCAGCCGCCGUAA